rnacentral:lncRNA from 1 species
AGCAAUUCUUCUCGAGAUAUCUGUCUUGGUAUUUGAAUAGAGUUGGGUGGUUGCGAUGCCGAUGUGAUUUCAAGGUAUAAAGCCUCGUCUGAUGCUGGUAAUGCAAGAUCGAGAGCAUGAUCUUGGAUUCUGUAUACAAUCUGAUGAUGUAGAGUUGUUGCCACACUUUCUUCCUGCAUAGGUGCUCCGAUUAGUUGUAAUUGAACCUUAAGCGCCCACGAGCGGAGGGUCGUGUUGACUAAGUCUAGACGACGAGUCGUGUUUACAAGCAAGGGUUCAUAUUCCAGGUAAAGGGAGCGGUUCGGGCCUCAUUGCCAUCUGUGUUGCUCAACCUACUAUUAGGAACUGUGAACCCCGGCGAGUACUAUUGACUGCCGUGUUCGACCGUCGUAUUGACGGACCGCUUAUGCUAACCUUAAGAGAACAAUACAGAAUCGCGACUGUGUUUAGAAUAGAAAGAAACAAGGUUUAUGAAGAAGAUAGGAAGUCAGGAAAACUUAGAGAGAAGUUAGAGAAACAUUUUAGAGAGAGAAAGCUGUUAUGAAAUUUUAUGAUAUUUCAAGUUGUGAUUUCUUACAAGGGGUACACACUUAUUUAUAGGAGGAUUUAAGGCGCUGACAUAAGCGCUUACCUCAGCGAUACAUCAUCGCUUACAUCAUUGCUUACAUAAUCAUUACAUCAUCGAUUACAUCAUCCCUUACAUCAUUAUUUAUUUUACAUGAUUUUAAACAUAUCAUAUUUAUAUUUUAUUUAUUUUAUAUUUUUCCAUACCAUUUAAUGAUCCAUUUCGAACUCCAGCAUAUGUUCUUCGCAGCAUCCAUAAUGAUCAUCUGGACAUUCAUACGAGUCUUCAAUCAUUCGUGCAUCUUCUCCUGGUUGAACAUUUAUGCAGAAUUUGAACUUCUCUUCGAUAUCUUCAACAUUUACUUCAUCAUCUGGAGAUUGAGCGUCCUUAAAGUAAUCGGCACAGUAAUCUUGAGAAGUCACCUGGGAAGUUGUCUCUUCUUGUUUAUCUUCUUUUGGACUGCUUGGUCUUCCUUGGUCAAACUUCAUCAUGUGAUACUGUAAAUUUUCAUCAAGUUGCAUCUGAUAGUCGACCGGAUAAUGAACCCAGUUGGGUAUGAACGGAAUAGGGAACAUUUGUCUUGCAUUGUUGAGGUGAAACGCAUGAGUUUGGAAGCUCUCGUAUGCUUCGUUAUCUUGAAGGUUGAAAUCUGGACGAACUCCUCUUGAAAAAUCACCGUGAUGAAUCAGAGUUGGAAGAGCGAGGAUUUUGCUUGUUUUGCGGUUGACCUUAACGGGACGAUGAAAGAAGUAGAUUGAAUGUGGAUUGAAGAAUGGGUUGAGUCCACCUUUUUUCAGCUUCUUGAAUGUUAGAUUUGUCGCAUUUGCAGAUUUUCGUAGUUUUCCACUCCAGACAGUCAAUGGUGAAAACCACCUUAGGAAUGUUGAGAAGCAAUCUCUUUUGUCUUGAACAGUGUUGACGUAAUGGUACAGCCAUUGGAUGUCGAAAGCAAUUCCUACAGUGUAGACGGCACAGAGAUACCAGAGGAAACAGAGAACUUCUUCUGGCAUAUUUGAAUUCUCGAUCCUGUAGAGAUGUGCAAACGGAUAGUCAGGAUGAAUUCCCAUUGGAGCAAUGUGGUGACAGUUUACCCCAUAGUUCGACAGGAUGGUAGAUUGUUAUGAAAAGAUCUUUGUGCGUAGUAGUUCAUGAAGCUUGUUUCUGCUGAUGAGUUGAUGAACAUCUUCGGGUACGUCUGCUUCAAAGUCAUAGUAGCUCUUCUUGGAUUCGGAGGAACUGGCCAUCAUGUGUAUCUCGUCGGGCGUUUCCUGUUUUACUGGCUUUCGACUUAACAUAUCCGCCAAAGUGUUCUUGGUGCCCUUUAAAUAGACUGACUCGAAAUCGUACUUUGAGAACCAUUCACUCCAUCUUAGCAACUGCUGAUGUGGGACCAUCUUCUGCUUGAACUGUAACAUCUUGGGAAAUGAAGACAUAUCCAUUUCUAUACGAAAUUUGUGUCCUAUUAGAUGAAAUUCAAACCUCUCGAUAACCUUUUUGACCGCUAAAAUUUCCUUGAACGUUGAGUGAUAAUGUUGCUCUGAAUCUUUGAAACGACCACUCUUGUAUCCACAGAUUUGCCUUUUCCCAUCCAUCUCUUCAAACAGUAUUGCUCCCCAAUACUUAUCGCUAGCGUCUGUCUGUAGAAUACGCAUUCCUGAGGAAGGAAUCUUUAAAGGGAGCAGCUUUUGCACUUCUGCUUUUAGACUUUUGAUAGCUUCAGUUUGUCGUGAUGCCCACAAAGGAGGGUUCUUCGACAACAUCUUCUGUAGAGGUCUCGUCAUUCUGGAAAGGUGUGGAAUGAAGUCUCCCACAUAAUUGAUUACUCCAAGAAAUUGUUGAAUUUGUCGCCUUGUAAGAUUUUCAUCGGGAAAAUCUAGAAGUUCUGUAGCUAAAUGGGCCUGUGGUAUGAAACUUCCUUCUUUGAUAUGCAUGCCAAGAAAAUCAAUGUUGGGCUGGGCUAUUAUCAUCUUUCUGGCUGAUAGCAUGAUUCCGUUUUUCUUGACGAUGUCUUGAAACUGUUGUAGCGCCUGAAUAUGCUCUUCUUCAUUCUUCGAGAAGAUGAGUAUGUCAUCAAUGUAUAUAAGAGCUGUGUGUAACAACGGCUCGAAUAUACGUAACAUUGCUUGUUGAAAUAGCGAUGGCGCCGUCUUGAGACCAAAGGGUAAGACAUUCCAUUGAAGGUGUCUAUUUGGAAGGCAAAACGCAGUUUUGUAUCUUUCUUCAGGAUGAACGCCGAGUUGCCAAAAUCCUGACUUUAGAUCAAACUUCGAAAAUAUUUUUGCGCCUUGGAGAUGUUGGAGAAGCGCCCUUUUAUUUGGUAGUGGAAACUUGACGUCUUGCAGAUAUUGGUUCAACGGCUUGUAGUCAAUAACUAAUCUGAGUUUUCCUCUUGCUUGUUCUGCACGAUUAUUGACGUAGAACGCUUUGCAUGCCCAUGGAGAAUUUGUUCUUGAGACGAUACCUUGAUCCAUCAAUUGAUUGCAUUCUUCAUUUGCCUUCUGCAACAAUGUUGGAGGCAUUCCUGCAUGGCUUGCCUUUGUUGGUGUUGUGUGUACAUCUUCCUUGAAUUGUAGGGAUACGAAGAAGUUUGAGUUUAGCCAUAGCGGAUGAUUACACUUCUGAAGGAACUCCGUGUGUGAGUCAGCGCAUGAUGUCAUCUUUAAUUCUUCUUCAAUUUUGUUGAAUUCUGCAGAUACUGAGUCUUCGAUUGAGAACAAGCGAUGCAUCGUGGUAAAAGCCUUGUAGAGAUUUUUCCAUCUCACACCUCUUGGUUCUAGAGAAAUACCGAACUUCUUCUUCAGUACCGAAUAAGUAUCCCACCCAAGGAUUAAGUCUUUACCAGGUGCAGAUGAACCUAGUACUUCCUUAGUAACUUGACAUCCUGGGAAAAGCUCUAUCGUGAUUGGUUUUGAUUUUAGCUUAACCGUUAGGGAUCCAGCAUUCGCGACUCUGAAAUCUUGUUGAUGAGGCAUCCACAUGGUUCGUGAGAGAAUCUUUGGAUUUAUGAUUGUUGUAUGAGCUCCUGUGUCGAAGAAUGCGAUUGCAUGCACCGGCUUUUCUCUUUUGGAAGGAUCAAAGAUGGUUACUAGUAGAUGUGGUGUCUGAAGUUCAUCUUCUUGUGGCAUCUGGGUAAUCUUGAAACAACAAUCAUCUUUUUCAUCUUCGGAUGAGGAUUCAGAAGAUUCAUCAUAAUCUGAAUAACUGCAUAUAGCAUCAUUCUCGUCACUAUCGUAAGAUAGUAUUGACUCAAGAUCGUGGUUAUCGAUAUCAAGAUCUGGAGCUAUCUUGGAUAUUGAAUGAAUGAGAUAUUGUUUCUUCUUUUUAGACUUGUUUGGACAGUCUUUUGCAAAAUGCCCCGUCUUUCUGCAUAGAAAACAUCUCGAAGUUUUCUUGAAGCUUUUCUUCUUCCUAAAGAAUCGCUUGCGUUUAAUCUUGUUGAAAUAUUUCGACUUCAAGAAUGAUUUCUUGGAUCUUCUUCGGUCUUUUCGUCGAUCUUCACAUGAACAUUUUUUCUUUUUCGAACAUUUGAUGUUCAUAUCCGGGCGAGCACAUAUCUUCGAAAGAUGCUUUGACUUGUCCAUGAAUUCUGACCAAAACUCCUUUUGCUUACAAAGCUUGUCAAGGGUUCUGAACACGUGCUGCUGGAUUUGUCCAAUCGAGAUUUCUUCGAUUGUCUGCCCUUGAUCUCUGAUAUACAGCUUUGUUUGUUGACUUAGGUAAUCGUCUAUGGAUGAGAGAUACACUUGCUUCAGGCUUGGAUUGUUUAGACCAUUGAGAGCAUAAUACCUUCGAGUUUGUCGCUCGAAAUGCUUUGCUAAAUCUCUCUUCUUCAAUGAACAACACUUUGCUGUGUAGAACUCUUCUUGUGGUUGUUCUUUUAAAUGACUUGGGGUGCCAACGAACUCUCUAUGUAUUUCUCCAAGAAGUAGAGGUAUCGUUGUCUGAUACACCUGCUGCUGCCGAUAUUCUCCAAGCGAAUUCCACCAUUCUUUUAAUGCGCCUGAAAGUCUCGAUGUGAAUUGUUGUAUCACCAUUUCUGUUGGGGAAGUGAUUGCUUCGGAGGUCAUCCACGCAUGAAACUCGUCAAGAAGACUAUUCCAUUUUUCAAAAGGAAUGUCAUCGAAUGUAAACACCAUUAUCUUUGAUGCAAAUUGUUUCUUUGGUACGCCUUGAGUUUCAUAGCCCAUCUCCUCGUCACUUGAAAUUUCUUCAUAGAUUGGCUCUUCUUUUGGAAUAUGUGACUCAUCUCCUAUUGCAAACUGAUUUGGAAGAGAUUCAUCUGUUUCUGAUUCAUUGACUGAAGAGGUUGAAUCCGAAAGAGUUGAAAUGUGAGUCAUUGUAACAAUUGGUAGCGACUGUUGCUCUUCUGAUUGAACUUGCAAUUCUUGUCUUUCGUCAUCAGAUGUUUUCGCAAGAUUGUCUAGUAAACUAGACAUCGAAAACUCGAUCAUCGCAAUAUCUUCUUCUUUUGCAACAUCUUCCUUCUUUUCAUCUUGAGCGGACUCAUGGCUUGAUGAAGAUGUGAAACUUGGCUUCUUGGAUGGAUUAAUGUGAAACUCAGAAUCCUUUUGACGCCUUGGUUUGGUUCUUGCCACCUUUGUUUUGAAAUUGCUGGUCGAAGUUGUACCAAACCAAGAUGUAAAGGCUUCAUCAGAGGAUAAGAAUCCAGGUACAGGCAGUUUUGGUUUUGGAUCUUGAUAUCCAGACAGAAAUCCUGGAGAUAUGAUUCUUGAUAUGUGGGUAAUCCAGAUGACAUGUAGUCAAAAGGAUUAUACACAUUAACUCGCCUCUGAUUCUGGACUAGAUUUUCUAGGCUUCUUUGAAGAUCUUUGAGUUGAUAUUUAAGAUUGGUUUGUUCAGCUUCUUUACUCCUGAACUGAGAUGUAUUAACUUUCAUUUGUUUCGCCAUAGACAUCAUUUCCAGGUGCAAGUUGCUGAGUUUCUGUUGAAUCUCUGAUAUGGCUCCUUGCAGACUGUUGAAUCUUCUAUUGUUGUUCUCCGACAUUUGAUCAACCUUGUGGCUAAUGGAUGACAGUAAUUGAUUCUGAACAAAGGCAUUUUCUGUUUGCCAGUUGAGGACCUUCUCUGCUUGGCUUAAUUCGUCGGGUCCAGAGGAGUUAAUGUUGUUUGGAACAAUUUUUGGUGUAUGCACAAUAUUGUCCUUGACAAAGUCUUCUGGCGGAGGAAAAUCCAUCCUUAUCAUCAUGAGUUGCUGGUUUGAGUCAUCCUUCUUUGUUGAAUACUCGACUAUGAAGUCGUAGUUGUCGUCACCAAGUGGACCUACUGUAGAAUCUCCUUCAAGGUAGCGUUUAUAAAGUGGAUCCUUCUUUUUUCUCCGUCUUCUUCGCUUUUCAUCAUCCGAUUCAUAAGAAUCUUCCAAACAUGCGGUGCAUGAGCAGACAUCGAAAUAACAAUGUCCGUUCUCAUCCUUGAAUGGAUAUACAACAGUUCCAUUCUGACCAAAAGCGAUUGGUUGAAGAUCUUUCUUCUUUACGGGAUCAUAGAACUCUUGCUCCUCAAUUUGGAUAGUGAAUUGAGUAAAGAGUUUCUUUUGAAAAGACGAUCUAGGCUUUUCGAACUUUCGUGGUUCCAUCGCUUCUAGAGUGAAAGCUUACGUCAGAUGACUGGAUCGGUGCUUGAGAUGCUUGAUGUAUCUUCUCAUAGCUUGUUACCCAUGACUCUGGCAGUUUUCGUAGCAAUUCUUCUCGAGAUAUCUGUCUUGGUAUUUGAAUAGAGUUGGGUGCUUGCGAUGCCGAUGUGACUUCAAGGUAUAAAGCCUCGUCUGAUGCUGGUAAUGCAAGAUCGAGAGCAUGAUCUUGGAUUCUGUAUACAAUCUGAUGAUGUAGAGUUGCUGCCACACUUUCUUCCUGCAUAGGUGCUCCGAUUAGUUGUAAUUGAACCUUAAGCGCCUUCAGGAGAUUUGGAUCUUGUAGUGAGACAUUGAAAUUUGGAAACAGUGUUAUAAAUACUGUUCCUGCGUUCAGCGUUGUUUGUACUGUUCCGAUGCAAGCUUGUUGAUAGGAUUUGAGCCUUGAGUCAAGCAAAGCUAUUCGUGCUACAACCGGUAAACCUUUUCGUGCAUGUAAGGUUAAACCGAUUCGUACUACACCAAAGUGUAGAUGAGUGUAGCCUUGCUGCUGCCAUAGCCUUGGUAGAUGCU